CCUACGGGUGGCAGCAGUGGGGAAUAUUGGGCAAUGGAGGAAACUCUGACCCAGCAACGCCGCGUGAAUGAUGAAGGUCCUCUGAUUGUAAAGUUCUCUUCUAAGGGAAGCAGAAAGUGACGGUACCUCAGGAAUAAGCCUCGGCUAACUACGUGCCUGCAGCCGCGGCAAUCCGGAGGAGGCAAGCGUUAUCCGGAAUGACUGGGCGUAAAGGGUGCGUAGGUGGUUUGAUAACUUGGUAGCGAAACUCGGGGGCUCAACCCCGGCUAUACUGCCAAAACUGUCGGACUUGAGUGCGGGAGAGGCAAGUGGAAUUCCUAGUGUAGCGGUGGAAUGCAUAGAUAUUAGGAGGAACACCAGUGGCGAAGGCGAGUUGCUGGACUGUAACUGACACUGAGGCACGAAAGCGUGGGGAGCGAACAGGAUUAGAUACCCCAGUAGUC
rnacentral:rRNA from 1 species